rnacentral:rRNA from 1 species
AGAGUUUGAUCAUGGCUCAGAAUGAACGCUGGCGGCGUGCUUAACACAUGCAAGUCGAACGAGAAAGUCACCUUCGGGUGGCGAGUAGAGUGGCGCACGGGUGAGUAACGCGUGGGUAAUCUACCCCCAAACCAGGGAUAACCAGCCGAAAGGCUGGCCAAUACCGGGUAAUAUUGUAAAAUCCUAGGGUUUAACAAUCAAAGGAGGCAUUUCGGUGCUACCGUUUGGGGAUGAGCUCGCGUCCCAUUAGCUUGUUGGUGGGGUAAAGGCCUACCAAGGCAUUGAUGGGUAGCUGGUCUGAGAGGAUGACCAGCCACACUGGAACUGACACACGGUCCAGACUCCUACGGGAGGCAGCAGUGAGGAAUUUUGCGCAAUGGGCGAAAGCCUGACGCAGCAACGCCGCGUGAGUGAAGAAGGCCUUCGGGUCGUAAAACUCUGUCAACGGGGAAGAAGUUAUAUAGUGCAAAUAGUUCUAUAUAUUGACGGUACCCGUGGAGGAAGCACCGGCUAACUCCGUGCCAGCAGCCGCGGUAAUGCGGAGGGUGCAAGCGUUAUUCGGAAUUAUUGGGCGUAAAGGGCGCGCAGGCGGGUAUAUAAGUCAGAUGUGAAAUCUCGGGGCUCAACCCCGAAAGUGCAUUUGAAACUGUGUAUCUUGAGUAUGGUAGAGGGAAGCGGAAUUCCUGGUGUAGAGGUGAAAUUCGUAGAUAUCAGGAGGAACACCAGCGGCGAAGGCGGCUUCCUGGCCCAAUACUGACGCUGAGGCGCGAAGGCGUGGGUAGCAAACAGGAUUAGAUACCCUGGUAGUCCACGCAGUAAACGUUGAUCACUAGGUGUAGUGGGUAUUGACUCCUGCUGCGCCGGAGCUAACGUAUUAAGUGAUCCGCCUGGGGAGUACGGUCGCAAGAUUAAAACUCAAAGGAAUUGACGGGGGCCCGCACAAGCGGUGGAGCAUGUGGUUUAAUUCGACGCAACGCGAAGAACCUUACCUGGACUUGACAUCCCGGGAAUCUCUUGGAAAUGAGAGAGUGCCUCCUUUGGAGGAGCCCGGUGACAGGUGCUGCAUGGCUGUCGUCAGCUCGUGUCGUGAGAUGUUGGGUUAAGUCCCGCAACGAGCGCAACCCUUGUCUUCAGUUACCAUCAAUUAAAGUUGGGGACUUUGGAGAUACUGCCCCGGUUAACGGGGAGGAAGGUGGGGAUGACGUCAAGUCCUCAUGGCCCUUAUGUCCAGGGCUACACACGUGCUACAAUGGUAUAUACAAAGGGCUGCUACCUCGCGAGAGCAAGCAAAUCCCAUAAAGUAUACCUCAGUUCGGAUUGCAGUCUGCAACUCGACUGCAUGAAGUUGGAAUCGCUAGUAAUCGUGGAUCAGCAUGCCACGGUGAAUACGUUCCCGGGCCUUGUACACACCGCCCGUCACACCAUGAGAGUUGGUUGUACCAGAAGUUGUUGGACUAACCCGCUACUCAAUUUUUUGCUUAAUUGAUUUAUGCUUUAAGCCAUU